AAUUCUUCAAAUUAUGAUUUAUAUCAUCCAAAAACUUUAGAAUCAAAUCUUUAACGGAAUCAGUUCAUCUCGCUAAACACAGAGAAUCGAUUCAGAAAUUUGCAUCCAAUUACACCUACCAUUUCUUAAAGCAUCGAUUCAAUUGCAUCUUCCUAAUAAGUUCCUUCUUUGAGACGGUGAUGAAAUAUAGAUCUCCAGGUAUUAGACUAUUUUCCUUCUUCUACAACAGAAGCAUGUUUAGGGUUUUGAUUUCUGAAGAAUUUUUAAUCCAUGAGUAUUAGCUAUUAAUUGUUCAUAUUUAUGAAAUUGAAUAUUUGUCCUAAAUUAGGGAGUAGUAGAAGAAUCUCUCAUCGAUGAAAGUGGGAAUCGAGGUACUAAAAGCAAAGGUAAUUGUUUAUUUCAAAGUUAUAAAGUUUCCAGUUUCUCUGCGUAAUUAUAUUUACCCAUCUUUGAAUGCAAAUUUAAAAUUAGAGUAUCGAACUGUAUGUAACCCUAACUAUGACAUUAUUUAUCAUUUAUAGUGAAGCGUACCAACCUCACUAAUUCUACUAAUCAGAUAUAGUGAAGAGAGACGGCCGAUGGAGUAAAGGUGGCUUGCGUCACCGGAGCUCUCGCUAUAUAGUGUCUUGGAUUGUCAAGCUUUUGCUCCUUGGUGGCUACACCGUCAAUGGCACCAUUCGUAUCCCAAGUUUGUUCCCUUCUUCUCUCUUUCUUUCCUUCUUUCCACUUUUCUUUGUCCCAUCACCAAAUUUAUGUCUCAGAGAACUUCAAGACCGGCUCAUUACCAUCUUUUACUUGAUGAGAUUGGUUUUUCAUCCACCGGAGAAAAAUUCUCGUCCAUUCUCUCACUAAU
rnacentral:lncRNA from 1 species